rnacentral:rRNA from 1 species
UACGGGGGGUGCAAGCGUUAUCCGGAUUCACUGGGCUUAAAGGGUGCGUAGGCGGCUUGGUAAGUCAGUGGUGAAAGCCCGGAGCUCAACUCCGGAACUGCCAUUGAUACUGCUUAGCUUGAAUCAGGUCGAGGUGGAUGGAAUAUUACAUGUAGCGGUGAAAUGCUUAGAUAUGUAAUAGAACACCGAUUGCGAAGGCAGUUCACUAGGCCUGUAUUGACACUGAGGCACGAAAGCGUGGGGAUCGAACAGG